AAGUCAGAUGUGAAAGCCCCGAGCUUACCUUGGGAACUGCGUUUGAAACUGGCAAGCUAGAGUCUGUCAUAGGGGGGUAGAAUUCCACGUGUAGCAGCGAAAUGCGUAGAGAUGUGGAGGAAUACCAAUGGGGAAGGCAGCCCCCUGGGAUAAUACUGACGCUCAUGCACGAAUGCGUGGGGAGCUAACAGGAUUAUAUACCCUGGUAGUCCACGCCCUAGACGAUGGCAACUGGUUGUUGGGUAACUUGAUUGGUCAGUAAAGAAGCUAACGCGAGAAUUUGUCCGCCUGGGGAGUACGGCCGCAAGAUUAAAACUCAAAGGAAUUGACGGGGACCCGCACAAGCGGUGGAUGAUGUGGAUUAUUUCGAUGCAACGCGAAAAACCUUACCUACCCUUGACACGUACGGAAGUCUGCUGAGAGGUGGAUGUGCCUGAAAGGGAACCGUAACACAGGUACAGCAUGACUGUCGUCAGCUCGUGUCGUGAGAUGAUGGGUUAAGUCCCGCAACGAGCGCAACCCUUGCUAUUAAUUGCCAUCAUUAAGUUGGGCACUUUAAUAGGACUGCUGGUGAUAAACCGGAGGAAGGAGGGGAUGACGUCAAGUCCUCAUGGCCCUUAUGGGUAGGGCUUCACACGUCAUACAAUGACCGGUACAGAGGGAUGCCAACCCGCGAGGGGGAGCCAAUCUCAGAAAACCGGUCGUAGUCCGGAUUGUUCUCUGCAACUCGAGAGCAUGAAGUCGG
rnacentral:rRNA from 1 species